GACGAACGCUGGCGGCGUGCCUAAUACAUGCCAGUAGAACGCUGAAGAGAGGAGCUUGCUCUUCUUGGAUGAGUUGCGAACGGGUGAGUAACGCGUAGGUAACCUGCCUUGUAGCGGGGGAUAACUAUUGGAAACGAUAGCUAAUACCGCAUAACAAUGGAUGACACAUGUCAUUUAUUUGAAAGGGGCAAUUGCUCCACUACAAGAUGGACCUGCGUUGUAUUAGCUAGUAGGUGAGGUAAUGGCUCACCUAGGCGACGAUACAUAGCCGACCUGAGAGGGUGAUCAGCCACACUGGGACGGAGACACGGCCCAGACUCCUACGGGAGGCAGCAGGAGGGAAUCUUCGGCAAUGGGGGCAACCCUGACCGAGCAACGCCGCGUGAGUGAAGAAGGGUUUCGGAUCGUAAAGCUCUGUUGUAAGUCCAGAACGGGUGUGAGAGUGGAAAGUUCACACUGUGACGGUAGCUUACCAGAAAGGGACGGCUAACUACGUG
rnacentral:rRNA from 1 species